UUUCUCAGAUUUCUUCCCCCUUCUUGUGGGUGUUUACAUUAGUAGGGCAUUGUGGGUCCUGUGAUAUUUGUGGUGUCUAUAAAUCACGUGUCACGGUCUCACGGACGUCCAAUGAGAGCCCGCCGGUAGCCGGUAGUUAGUUCAAUGACGUAUCACGGCAAAACCAAUCACGGGCGCUGGACUGUAGGACGUCCAAUGGGAGCCCGCCAUGCUGGGAGGUAUUCUAUUGUUGCAUUUGUUUCUACUGAGAGAGGUGAGCCUGACCACGGCUCUUCCUUCUAUUUGCUAAGCUGCUUUUAUUGUGGACGCCCGUCACCCACUCCUCUGACUCAUGCACUGAUUGGACUUGGGAGAUGACAACGGCCACAGUUCUCCUCAGCAAUCCCCAUGGAGGACGGCAACACUCCCUUCCCUGCUCCCACACUGCUGCCGAUCCUGGUGGUGGUGAGCUGGACUCCCUCCCUACCCUCAUGACUUGGUCAACAAGGACACCACAACUGCACCCUUCCUGUGGUUGCUGGUUGAGGUCGUCUUUGUGAGUGCUGCACCAUGGACCAGAGGUGAGCAGAAUGGCUGCGUCUGAGCUGCCCGACAACACCGGAAGAGGACUGAAUGGGAGGUGGAACAAGAGAGACUAGAGUGUGAGAGAAGGUUGGAUCUGUACAAUGCAGAAAUACUGUCCAAGAGACUAAAGGGAAAAGGAUCCAAGACUGUUCUUGCUGGUGAGCUCCACUAAGUGUGCCAACACACACCAAGCAAAACCACUUCACCCACCAGUCCACUACUUGGUACUAUAGGAGCAGCUUGACUUCAAUGUGGACAUUCUUCUGCAGCAGACCAUGCCGCUUUGCUGUACAGCAGUGCGGAGAGAGGCAAGUUCAGGCAGGGGUUUGUGCACCCAGCUGAGUGUGUUCACAUCAUGUGAAGAGCUCGGGCCGCCACCACCACAUCCUUCAGUUGUCACUGAUUGUAGUACAAGCUGAACUGUUUUAUAUACAAGACUUUGGAGUAUAUUGGUGGUAACAGUUCCUUCCUGAUGGAGGGCAGGGGGGAAGGAAGCCAGUGUCAACCCAAUAGAAUGAGACUAAGUUUUAAGGUGGAACCUGCACACAAGUUCACCCUGAAUGUGCACAUUGCAACACAAAAACAGAACAGGGUGAAUGAACCUAUGUGCAAAUUUCACCCUUAAACUUUGUCAUGUGACUUAUUUCUAGAAUAAACUCUAUACAAUGUGCACCUUGCAACACAAAAACACAG